CAGCAUGGUCUUAGCUUGCUAAGACUGAUGGCGACCGGCGCACGGGUGCGUAACGCGUAUGCAACUUGCCUCACAGAGGGGGAUAACCCGUCGAAAGACGGACUAAUACCGCGUACACUCCAUCUUGGGCAUCCAAGGAGGAGGAAAUGAAUUUCGCUGUGAGAUAGGCAUGCGUCCCAUUAGCUUGUUGGUGAGGUAACGGCUCACCAAGGCGACGAUGGGUAGGGGAACUGAGAGGUUGAACCCCCACACUGGUACUGAGACACGGACCAGACUCCUACGGGAGGCAGCAGUGAGGAAUAUUGGUCAAUGGGCGAGAGCCUGAACCAGCCAAGUCGCGUGAAGGAUGACUGUCUUAUGGAUUGUAAACUUCUUUUAUACGGGAAUAACAAGAGUCACGUGUGGCUCCCUGCAUGUACCGUAUGAAUAAGCAUCGGCUAACUCCGUGCCAGCAGCCGCGGUAAUACGGAGGAUGCGAGCGUUAUCCGGAUUUAUUGGGUUUAAAGGGUGCGUAGGCGGCCUGUUAAGUCAGCGGUGAAAUCUAGGAGCUUAACUCCUAAAUUGCCAUUGAAACUGGCGGGCUUGAGUGUAGAUGAGGUAGGCGGAAUGCGUGGUGUAGCGGUGGAAUGCAUAGAUAUCACGCAGAACUCCAAUUGCGAAGGCAGCUUACUAAGGUACAACUGACGCUGAAGCACGAAAGCGUGGGUAUCAAACAGGAUUAGAUACCCUGGUAGUCCACGCAGUAAACGAUGAUAACUGGGCGUAUGCGAU
rnacentral:rRNA from 1 species